rnacentral:rRNA from 1 species
GUUGGAACCACCUGAUCCCUUCCCGAACUCAGAAGUGAAACGACGCAUCGCCGAUGGUAGUGUGGGGUCUCCCCAUGUGAGAGUAGGUCAUCGUCAAGC